rnacentral:rRNA from 1 species
UGGGGAAUCUUGGACAAUGGGCGCAAGCCUGAUCCAGCCAUGCCGCGUGAGUGAAGAAGGCCUUAGGGUUGUAAAGCUCUUUUACCAGGGACGAUAAUGACGGUACCUGGAGAAUAAGCCCCGGCAAACUUCGUGCCAGCAGCCGCGGUAAUACGAAGGGGGCUAGCGUUGUUCGGAAUUACUGGGCGUAAAGCGCACGUAGGCGGGUCGUUAAGUCAGGGGUGAAAUCCCGGAGCUCAACUCCGGAACUGCCUUUGAUACUGGCGAUCUAGAGGUCGAGAGAGGUGAGUGGAAUUCCGAGUGUAGAGGUGAAAUUCGUAGAUAUUCGGAAGAACACCAGUGGCGAAGGCGGCUCACUGGCUCGAUACUGACGCUGAGGUGCGAAAGCGUGGGGAGCAAACAGGAUUAGAUACCCCCGUAGUCC